GACGAACGCUGGCGGCGUGCUUAACACAUGCAAGUCGAACGGAAAGGCCCUGCUUUUGUGGGGUGCUCGAGUGGCGAACGGGUGAGUAACACGUGAGUAACCUGCCCUUGACUUUGGGAUAACUUCAGGAAACUGGGGCUAAUACCGGAUAGGAGCUCCUGCUGCAUGGUGGGGGUUGGAAAGUUUCGGCGGUUGGGGAUGGACUCGCGGCUUAUCAGCUUGUUGGUGGGGUAGUGGCUUACCAAGGCUUUGACGGGUAGCCGGCCUGAGAGGGUGACCGGCCACAUGGGGACUGAGAUACGGCCCAGACUCCUACGGGAGGCAGCAGUGGGGAAUAUUGCACAAUGGGCGGAAGCCUGAUGCAGCAACGCCGCGUGCGGGAUGACGGCCUUCGGGUUGUAAACCACUUUCGCCUGUGACGAAGCGUGAGUGACGGUAAUGGGGAAAGAAGCACCGGCUAACUACGU
rnacentral:rRNA from 1 species